GGGUUAGAUGGAGAAGGGGGGUUCAUUUCUUUCUGAUAGUGACGGCCUUGGUUCACAGGCUGAAAGAAACAAAACAUCUGUGAGGCGGAAACCCAUCAGCUUGGCGACCUUGGCACACACCCUCGCAUCAGUCCUCAUUUCUGAUGUUUUGAUAUCAACGGUUCUCAUUUUUUGAGAUCUUAUUUCUGAUAUUCCAUCUGCAGGAGAGAGCUGCGUCCCCUUCCCAGCGUAGGCAGAGGCUCUGGGAGACCCAGCAAUCCCAGGGUGGCAUAACCCACAGAACGCAGGCCACUUUAAAGGGUUCCGUAGCAUCUGUGAUGUAAACAGAGGCCUCCCUCACAUGAGAGCUCUCCGUGUGGAAUCUUUAGGCUGUUGCUGCUUCUGGAGACAGCAGAGGAAAACAAGGUCUCCUGCUGAAAGCACUGGCAAUGGCUAGAGGUGCAGCAAAACAUAUUUAUGUCUCAGGGCCAGUAAGUUGGCGAGGACCACUCUGUUGCCGUUAGCUUGGACUGUUCAUGUGAAUCUCAGGUCCCACCCCCAAAUGUAUACGAAAACUGUGAGCAUGGAUCAGAAUGAGCUGACAAAGUGGUGCUAGUAAAAAUGGGGACUCUCUAACCCCCCCCACAAUAAACCUUUCCUCAUUUCUUGAAACACAACUAAGAAACACACAAAAAACAAGACAGAAAAACAAAUGAAUGCCAAUAAUAAAACUUGAUUUUCUUCCUCUUUGAGGAGAAAGUUCGGACAGCUAAUACCAACUCCAUUUUGAGGAUAAUUCUAAAUGUUUUCCUAACGUGGCUAACAAUGACAAAAUUCUAACAUGGAAACCACAUUAUUUUGGCCUUCUUGUUUUACCACACGGUGGAACUUGGCAUGCAUUUGUGAAGUGCAUUCAGAACUCCUGCUCCCACAGGGGUUGCUAAGGCCCCUUCACCCUAGUGAGGAGAUGUGGUCCCAUGGUGCAGAGGUGCAGAGACCAAGCUAAGAUGUGUCAGUCACCCAUGUGAGAAUCAUGUCACUUAGCCUGGCUACCUGCGAUGCACCAUGCAUUUCGGUGCUCUCAGAUAAUUUGUUUCAUCUGAUUUUAUCUACAGUGCAGCACAAUCAAAACCCUACCUUCCUAGUUUACCCAGAUAACAAACAAGCCUGGCAUAUCCUGCAAGAGCUGAGGAACUAAUGAGUCUGUGGAUGAGAAGAAAUUAAGACCCAUUAGGGCCCCAGUCCGUGUGCACGGCCCCAGGAUGCCUGCUUAGCUCCAGGAGCCAUGAGAAGAGGAACUUGAAGAACUCCUGCCAGGUAGCAGGCUCCUAACAUGGAAAGGCCCUUUGGGGCUGGCUCAGCAGCUAAUGGUGCUUUCCACAGAGCCUGACAACUGGGCCCAGUCAAUCCCUGGGACUGCCAUGGUGGAAGAGAACUAAUUCAGCCAGGCUGUGCUCCAACAUCCAUGCCCGUGCCAUGGUGCGUACCCCUCACAGAUAGAUGAACGUAAAGGACUUCUUUAAUAAAAAGUUAGCCACCCUGUAAGGCAGAGGAGGCGGUGGAAACAACCAAACCCAGACAAAAUCCAAACAAACAAGUGGGUGUGUCCCAAAGGGAGAGGUCAAUGGAAGAGCAGGCAGGCUGGCAGAGAACAGGGACAGGGGACACUGUGGCUGGAGCGCAGUGUCAUUCGCCUGUGCACAUGCUGGAUGGGGUGGGGCAGGCAGCCAGGGUGAGUCUCAAGUUCUAUGUGAGCUGAGGGAGAGGGCCUGAAGAGAAGGGUAUCUGGCAUAAGGAGAGACGCUGCUCUCACCUCCACAGUCUGCCUCUUUCUCGAAUCUGAAAUGCCUUCCUCUGUUUUGUCUACAUGUAAACUUGCACUCCUUCAUGAGCUCUGACCUAAGUGAGGACGUCUGACAGCGUGCCUGGGACCUAGAGGCCAUGUUGAUAUGGAUUGCUCCUUCCUAUACCUUCCCACAGUUCUUUGUCUCACUGACACUCAUCAUCCUGAAUCGCAGAGCUUCUGUCGCUCUGUGAGCAUCCUAAGGUGGGGACAAGUUUUAUCCCUAACAUCCCUCCUAGUCCCCACCACAUUGUACUGAAUAGGUGCGGAAUGAGCGCAUGCGACACAGAUGACGAAGUCUGGGACGGGAGGUGGACAUUUACUCCUGCUCUGGGCACAGAGGAAGAUAUGGCCUUCACAGUGAGGCCUAGAGUAGUGCCACCGAAAAUCCUGGAGCUGUCUGGGUGUCAAUCCGGAGCAAGGUACACGGAUACCCUCACCGUGCAGGUACAGAGCUGGAACUGUAACUUGGAGGGAAUGGUGGAGAGAAGGGGGAAGUGAGGCUGGGGUAGGGUGGUCUCUCAGAGUGCAGGAAGCCCUCUGCCUCAGACUCCAGAGGCAAUGGGAGUCACUGCUUUAGGGAGAACGGAGCGUGUGUGAAUAUCCACAGAGACCAGAAGAGGAGGUUGGGUCCCCUAGAGCUGGAGUAACAGGCAGCUGUGGGCUGCCUGCUGUGGCUACAACAGACUGAAUUCUGGCCAUCUGACAACUAAGGAUUUUACUAAGUGCUUAUUAUGUUUCAAAUUCAGCAGCAGAUGUUUUACAAGGCGGUAGGCCACCGGGUGAGUGCUCCUAACCCUUAGAUCAGAGGCAAGGAGAUGAGGUAUGAGAAAAGCCAGACAAACAGCACCGCGCCAAGUCCCUCUUCUGACCUCCGAGGAUACCAGGAGUGCACAUGCAGGAUGCGGAGUUCAUUACGGAAUGCAAUUUCCCAUUUGUUGCUAGUUCCAGUGGUGGAGCAAACCGAACUUGAUGAAAUAAUAAACACGUCCCAUGAAUCUGAAGAAUAGGACAGCGAUGAGAACCCCGUAUCCAGGGCAACCAAGAGUUCAGACUUCUCAGUCCAUAAAUAAUCAUUCCCCGGCUUGCCCUCUGUACUCCUGGUCUCUGAGCCACUUUCUGACAAAAUGGGCUCCAUCCGGACGGAGGCUGCCACUCUUUCUCUAACUGGGGCUUAAAUGACUGCUGGGGAAUAUUCUAUAAAAAAGGCACCGUUUCACUUCUGUCUGCAACUGACUCUUGUAAUUUUUCUCUGGUGAGAGGAUGCUCUGUGGCCAGAGUCAUGGGGGCAUAGAUACCAUCUAGCACCAAGCUGCCUAGAAAGUUCUGGGUAUCCAUGGCUGCGUCUAAUGAGACCAGAUUGAGCAAGAGGAAGCUGGAGGCAGGGGAGACAGAGACAAAGGUCCCAAAGUGAGCACUGGUGGUAACUGUCCGCCUUUGAACCUCCUUAGAGACUUCUGGAUUCACUGUCCAUGAUGACUUGCAUGUUCUCUCAAGAGCACAGGAACCUUAUCUUCCAUUGGAUGCCUGUAGCACCCAUUUGACAAGCAACUCACAUAUUAAGAGUCAGGAAGACAGCCGGGCCACUUCUCAGGAACCGCAGUGUUCUCACAGGAAGUGGAAACGCUAGUGGCAGCUGGAAGGACUCAUGUAACUAACACAUUGGACUACACGCCAAGAGGCUGCCCAGACACACGAUGUCUACAAAACUGUUGGGGGGCCUGGAACAACUGGCAGAUAGCAAACAAUUACUUAUUAAAUAUGCAAAACUUAUCUUCUCUCUACUACAUUUGAACUUAACAUUAUGUAGGUUUAAAACGUAUCUUAAACAUUUUAAGGAUUUAUUGAUAUUUACUUAA
rnacentral:sRNA from 1 species